rnacentral:rRNA from 1 species
UUAGUGGCGAACGGGUGAGUAACACGUGAGUAACCUGCCCUUGACUCUGGGAUAAGCGUUGGAAACGACGUCUAAUACCGGAUAUGACCCCUACCGGCAUCGGUUGGGGGUGGAAAGAUUUUUUGGUCAAGGAUGGACUCGCGGCCUAUCAGGUAGUUGGUGAGGUAAUGGCUCACCAAGCCGACGACGGGUAGCCGGCCUGAGAGGGUGACCGGCCACACUGGGACUGAGACACGGCCCAGACUCCUACGGGAGGCAGCAGUGGGGAAUAUUGCACAAUGGGCGAAAGCCUGAUGCAGCAACGCCGCGUGAGGGACGACGGCCUUCGGGUUGUAAACCUCUUUUAGUAGGGAAGAAGGGAGCUUGCUCUUGACGGUACCUGCAGAAAAAGCACCGGCUAACUACGUGCCAGCAGCCGCGGUAAUACGUAGGGUGCAAGCGUUGUCCGGAAUUAUUGGGCGUAAAGAGCUCGUAGGCGGUUUGUCGCGUCUGCUGUGAAAUCUGGGGGCUCAACCCCCAGCCUGCAGUGGGUACGGGCAGACUAGAGUGCGGUAGGGGAGAUUGGAAUUCCUGGUGUAGCGGUGGAAUGCGCAGAUAUCAGGAGGAACACCGAUGGCGAAGGCAGAUCUCUGGGCCGUAAC